rnacentral:rRNA from 1 species
GAUUAACGCUGGCGGCGUGCAUAACACAUGCGAGUCGAACGAUGAAACUUAACUGAUUUCUUCGGAAUGAUUUUAAGUGGAUUAGUGGCGGACGGGUGAGUAACGCGUGAGUAACCUGCCUUGGAGAAGGGGAUAGCCUUUGGAAACGAAGAAUAAUACCCUAUGAUAUGAUAAUAUCUCAUGAUAUUAUCAUCAAAGAUUUAUCGCUCUAAGAUGGACUUGCGUCUGAUUAGUUAGUUGGUGAGGUAACAGCUCACCAAGGCAGCGAUCAGUAGCCGGCUUGAGAGAGUGUACGGCCACAUUGGGACUGAGACACGGCCCAGACUCCUACGGGAGGCAGCAGUGGGGAAUUUUGCACAAUGGGGGAAACCCUGAUGCAGCGACGCCGCGUGAUUUAGAAGGCCUUCGGGUUGUAAAAAUCUUUUGUAUGGGAAGAAAAUGACAGUACCAUACGAAUAAGGACCGGCUAAUUACGUG